rnacentral:lncRNA from 1 species
GAGGCUGUUUGGAUACGAGGUGCUAAACUUUAACAGUGUCACAUCGGAUGUUCGGAUGCUAAUUAGAAGGACUAAACAUAAGCUAAUUAUAAAACUAAUUGCAGAACCUUGUGCUAAUUCGCGAGAUGAAUCUAUUAAGCCUAAUUAAUCCAUCAUUAGCAAAUGGUUACUGUAGCACCACAUUGUCAAAUCAUGGACUAAUUAGGCUUAAUAGAUUCGUCUCGCGAAUUAUACUCCAUCUGUGCAAUUAGUUUUAUAAUUAGCUUAUAUUUAGUACUCCUAAUUAGCAUCCAAACAUCCGAUGUGAUAGGUGUUAAACUUUAACAGGGGUGU